UGUUGGUCCAAGGGCAGUGGUGUUUACAACUAAUUGAUCCCAACCAGUUACAGAUUCCUUUGUUCCUUCUCCAUUUCCACUACCUCACUUGACCAGCCUUAA
rnacentral:Y_RNA from 1 species